rnacentral:rRNA from 1 species
GAUGAACGCUGGCGGCGUGCUUAACACAUGCAAGUCGAACGAAGCACUUUAUUUGAUUUCCUUCGGGACUGAUUAUUUUGUGACUGAGUGGCGGACGGGUGAGUAACGCGUGGGUAACCUGCCUUGUACAGGGGGAUAACAGUUGGAAACGGCUGCUAAUACCGCAUAAGCGCACGGCAUCGCAUGAUGCAGUGUGAAAAACUCCGGUGGUAUAAGAUGGACCCGCGUUGGAUUAGCUAGUUGGUGAGGUAACGGCCCACCAAGGCGACGAUCCAUAGCCGACAUGAGAGAGUGACCGGCCACAUUGGGACUGAGACACGGCCCAAACUCCUACGGGAGGCAGCAGUGGGGAAUAUUGCACAAUGGGCGAAAGCCUGAUGCAGCGACGCCGCGUGAGCGAAGAAGUAUUUCGGUAUGUAAAGCUCUAUCAGCAGGGAAGAUAAUGACGGUACCUGACUAAGAAGCACCGGCUAAAUACGUG